CUUUCUUCUUCCUUCUUUUUUCUUCUUUUCUCUUCUUCUUCUCUUUUGCUCUUCUUCAUCGAGUUUAUGUGAGAGUUUGGUUAAGAAUUGAUUGAGGGAAACCAACUGGUAGUACUGAUAGAUGAUUGAGAAGAUGGUGUGGUCGUUAAUAGGGAAGCAGAACAACUGAGGUUCGAAUCAGAGAGUCGGAAUUAGGGUUUGUAGUUCGAUUUUUUUUCUAAAGAGUCAGAAGAUGAUAUUUAGAGCUUUGGAUAGAUGAAGAAUCUUGGGUAGAUGUCUAAUUGCGGUUUUGAAGUUAAACCAGUGAUGAAUCGGAGAAAUAGAAAUUAGGGUUUCACAUGAACUCAAAGGAGCUACCGAAGAUGAAAUUGAAAAUACAGAAUAUGAUGAUUGAGAAAAAUAGAAGAUGGGUUUGACACGAAUUAUGAGUUAAGGUUGAAGAGUGAUUACAGGAUUUGAAAUUGGAUAACUCUGGGUAAUGGAUUACAGAACUGGUCAUGAUUGUGUUUUUUGAUUUGUAUCUCAGUUGGAUGAAGUGAUAUUGCAGGUGGUGAAGAAAAUGAUUGUAAUUGGUGGUCUGGUGUUGCAAUGACAGUCUAGAAGGGAUUGGUAUCUAGAGAUGGUGUUGUUUGUGUAUCUGCGGCUGCGGGUGUUGGGAGUUGAGCUAUUGGUGAGUUGUAUUAGUGCAGAUUGAGUUAAGAGACGGUAUAGAGGUGUUGUAGCUUAUGGAUGACAUGAAUUGGUAACGGUAAUUGUGGCAGGAAUUGAAGUUCAGUGAAUUCAAUGGCUGGUUUAACUGAAAACAAGAAGCAUUGUGUGUUUGUUAUAUCUAUGAUGGUAUGCAGAUUGAUUGUGUAAGUGUUUGAAAUGAAGUGAGAUGAAUGUUAGGACCUUGGAGGUGUUGAUGAUAUUGAGAUGGCAGUGUUGAGGUAGUGAUGUUGCUGUUUAGGAGCUGAGUUUGAGUUACAGUUGGAGCAACAUAGGGAAAUUAGUUAUAACUAUGAGAUCUUGAAUAUGCUGAUAGGAUGUAUAAGUUGAAGUAGGUAGUAAUUUUGUUAUGUCUUCCUGUGAUCUUAGUGCAAGCUUGCAAGUGGAAUUCAAGUUAGUCUUUUAACAACGAUCGAUUCAACGGAUGAACCAGUGGAUCGUGGAUCUCAAGGUAGGCGUGGCUUGUCAUCAAAAGAGUUUCAGAAACAGAUCAGAGUUGCGCAGCGAAGGCUCGAGGAGUUGACUCAGUUAAUUAGUUAACUUCUGCUAUGUCUAUUAUGUUUGUUUAUUCUAUUUGCAAACCAAAUGAUUAUUGUAUAUGUAUCAUUUGAGAGGAAUUCUUGUAUAUAUUUCAGAGAGGGGUUAGUUUUUGGGUUAAGUUUUGUAGCAGUUUUCAUAAGUGAAUGUUUAAGUAAAUGAUUUAGAUUCUUGGUGCCUCUUUAUUUAGUUAAUCUCUUGGAUUAGUCAGCUACUAGAUUUGAGGGCGCUACAUAAUCCUUGCAAACAAAAGAUUUUAACCUAUCUUCCAUCAGUAAUUGACAAUAUAGGCUUAACUUUUGUA